AAUAUUGCGCAAUGGAGGGAACUCUGACGCAGCGACGCCGUGUGAGCGAUGAAGGUCUUCGUAUCGUAAAGCUCUGUCCUUGGGGAAGAAGGGAGCCGUAAGUCUUCGCUACGGUACCCAUGGAUGCAUCCCCGGCUAUCCACGUGCCAGCAGCCGCGGUACUACGUAGGGGGCAAGCGUUGUCCGGAAUUAUUGGGCGUAAAGGGUGCGUAGGCGGCCCUUUAAGUUGGGUGUGAAAGCCCACGGCUUAACCGUGGGACUGCAUUUGAAACUGGAGGGCUUGAGUGUCGGGGGGGGCAGUGGAAUUCCCAGUGUAGCGGUGGAAUGCGUAGAUAUUAGGAGGAACACCAGUGGCGAAGGCGACUGCCUGGACGAUAACUGACGCUGAGGCACGAAAGCUAGGGGAGCAAAC
rnacentral:rRNA from 1 species